rnacentral:rRNA from 1 species
UACGUAGGGCGCGAGCGUUGUCCGGAAUUAUUGGGCGUAAAGAGCUCGUAGGCGGCUUGUCACGUCGGGUGUGAAAGACCGGGGCUUAACUCCGGUUCUGCAUUCGAUACGGGCUAGCUAGAGUGUGGUAGGGGAGAUCGGAAUUCCUGGUGUAGCAGUGAAAUGCGCAGAUAUCAGGAGGAACACCGGUGGCGAAGGCAGGUCUCUGGGCCAUUACUGACGCUGAGAAGCGAAAGCAUGGGGAGCGAACAGG